AUAGUAUCUUGCUACUGAUCAGCAGGCAUUCAGCAGAAAACAAACACCAGCAUUUCAUGGAUGAAAUAACACAUAGUCCACUGGAUAUCUUUAUUUGCAAGAAGUGCCUCUCUCCUCAGUACUGGAUGCAAUGGCUUAGUCAAUGAAACUUAUGUAAAACUAAUUUUCCUGCUCCUAGAUCAAGCUAUUAAAUGGAAAAACGAAAAUAACUUUGGUGUUCAUAGCAACUGUAGAGGUACGACAAAG